UACAGAGGUCCCAAGCGUUGUUCGGAUUCACUGGGCGUAAAGGGCGCGUAGGCGGCGAGGUAAGUCGGAUGUGAAAGCUCGGAGCUCAACUCCGAAAUGGCAUUGGAAACUACCUUGCUCGAGGGUUGGAGGGGGGACUGGAAUUCUCGGUGUAGCGGUGAAAUGCGUAGAUAUCGAGAGGAACACCAGUGGCGAAGGCGAGUCCCUGGACAACUCCUGACACUGAGGCACGAAAGCUAGGGGAGCAAACAGG
rnacentral:rRNA from 1 species